UACGUAGGGUGCGAGCGUUGUCCGGAAUUAUUGGGCGUAAAGAGCUUGUAGGCGGUUUGUCGCGUCUGCUGUGAAAAUCCGGGGCUCAACCCCGGACUUGCAGUGGGUACGGGCAGACUAGAGUGUGGUAGGGGAGACUGGAAUUCCUGGUGUAGCGGUGGAAUGCGCAGAUAUCAGGAGGAACACCGAUGGCGAAGGCAGGUCUCUGGGCCACUACUGACGCUGAGAAGCGAAAGCAUGGGGAGCGAACAGG
rnacentral:rRNA from 2 species